GAUUUUUUUUUUUUUUUGGUACAAGAAUCGAGUAAGUGGGUGAUAUUGGAUUGGAAGAGAAGUGAAGGAAAAGCUGGUACUUUUAAAGACAAGUUGGGAAAAAUUGACAACUAAUCCAGAUGAUGAAGGUCAACUUUUUCUUCCUUUCCUCUCAUAGUUGAAAUAUAGGCAUUUGUGUUUAUUUAAACUAUUCCACUUCAUCACUGUACCAAAACAUUUGUUCUAUUUAUUCAUUCAACAAUCAUUACACACUUAUAUUUCACGUUCACCCCAACUAAAGCAACUAACGUGCAACGCACUUUGCCUCAUUAGUAUCAUUAUAUAUAGCUAAAUAAAAUAAAUCACACCAUAAAUAUUAUAUUGCAUUAUAAUAUUUGACAUAGUAUUUUUUAAUUAUUGAGACUUGAUUGAAAGAUUUAGAUGGGGCAUUAAAUUUUAAUACUAAGCUACCCCGCGACUCCCAAAUAGGUCAAUUGAUUCAUAAUCAAUAAGAUUAAGCUCUUAUUUCUUUAGAUUAAAAUCAGAUUUUUAAAAGAUUUUUAUAAAAAUUGAUAUAAUGUAUGAUUGAGAAGUUGUUGACUCAUAAAAUAUGUGAUGAAACUAAGCCCCAUUUGGUUCGGACUUUUUACCUUGAAAAAUUAAUUUUUUGACAGUGAUUUCAUUUUUUCAACCGUCAUUUUAUUUAUUCACUCACAGGUAAAAUCCACUUUUCUCUCUAAUAAUCAAAAAAUAAUUCUCAUAAUCAUUACCGAACAGACUCUAAUUGUGACUUUUAUCUAGAUUAUUAUUAUUAUCAAUUUUUGUAUCUGAACCAAAAUUGAGGCUAAAUUAACUUCCAAUGAUAAAGAAAAUAAAUCCAAACAUAGAUUAAAAUUAAUCGGUGAGAAGUCAACCAACUAGUUUAUGUUAAAAGAGUAACCAACUUGGUUAAUUUAAUAGGUUGAGGACUGAACUUCGAAAUUUUCUCAUCCAAAGUCCAAACAUAACACAAAUCUAAAGAUGGCAAUCGGGCUCGGCGGCUCAAGCCGCACGUGGCUCGACUCGAAAAAAGUCCAAGUUAGCUCGGGCCGAGCCCCAUUUUCUGGGAGUUGGCUCGAGCCCAGCCGGCCUGUAAAAAAAAUUAAUUAGAAAGGAAAAAUAUGCUGUCUGUUUGGCAACCUUAACCGGCCGCUUCUGCUUGGUAGCUAAUUUUGGCUGCCAAACAAGCAGCUAAGAGAGAGAAAAAAAAUUCAGAAAAUCAAGUCGGCUCGGCUCGCCCCCGGUAAGGCCCCAGCAGGCCUUAAUUUUUUGGUCAAGUUUUUGCUUUGCUCGGCUCGGGCAAAAAAAAGCUCACCUUAAAAAAGUUCGACCCGAGAAUUUCGCAGUUUCAUUUUUAUUUAUUUAUUUAUUAUUAUUUUAUUUUUUUGGAUGGUGGGGGGAGGAAAUAGUGGUUGAUGGCCAGUUGACCCGAUUAUUUUUCCAAAGAGGCCUUUGACCAAUAUAAAAAAAGCAAAAAAGUUUAAAAUCUUGAAAACUAAGAAAAACCCAAAUUUACCCUUACCAUUUCGAGAAGAGAGUAAGGAAAGAAUAAAGUUACUGUUGCACCAACAACCCAGGCAUUGACAAAAAAGGAAAAAUCGACAACCCGGUUGGCCAUUCCUCUCUAAAGAAGGAAAGCUUUUGAUUUAGUAAAAAAAACAUGUUUUAUGUUGAUUUUUGGAAGAAAACAUGAUUUUAUGUAUAUGUGUUGAGAAAUUCUUGUAUUUAUGGUUUAGAUGUAUAAUUUGGGUAAGGUUAUAGGUUUGGAAGGGCGAAAAUGGUGUGGAGAUCGCUGUCCGCCUGCGUAAUCGCAGGCGUUUGAGCCGUUCAAGCCGUCGCUCCCAGACGGCCCAAUCAACUGGGCACUGGCCCGACAGUCCAUUAUCUGGGCGGGCAGUCGGCCCAGAAUUUGUUAUUUAUUAUUUUUUUUAUUUUUGGUUAUUAAUUACAUAUUUAUUUAUUUCCUUUAAUUAUUUAACAUAUCUAUCUAUUUCCUUUAAUUAUUGAAGUUAAUUAUUUAUUUUAAUUGCUUAUAUUUUGUUGUCUAAUAUUUAAUUACUUAUUUGAAUUGUUUAAUUUUAAUGUAUAGUAUGUAUUUAAAAUUAUUUCUUUGAAAUGCUUAAUAUAAAUGUUUUAUUAUUUAUCUAAAUAUUUAUUAUUUGCUAAUUUAGUUUAAUUACUCAUUUUAUGUUAAGUAAUAGUAAAAUAAUAAAAACAAAUAAUGAAAUAUUAUAAGUAAUAGAUAGCUCUUGUUUGAGCCACAUUAUUUUCUUUAGAAUGCAUUUUCGAAUAGUGCAUUGAUGAGAAAUGUGUGGUUAAAAAAUAAAGAAAAUUUUUGAAUUUAAGUGUAAUAUUAUUUUAUUAAAGAAUGCGUGGUUGAAAUGAUGUCAAAUCAUUGUUUAAAAAUGUAUUUUUUUGAAAAAAUGUGACUCAAGCAUAGCCACAAUAACAAUUAAAAUAAGUAUUUGAACAUAAAAUAAACAAUUAAAUUAAGUAUUAGUAAAAUAAUUAAAAUAAGUAAUUAAAAUAUUAAAAUAAACUAUCAAAAUAAGUUUUAGUAAAAUAAUUAAAUAUUAAAUAAGUAAUAUACAUAAAUAAUUUAAAUAAAUAUUUAAACAUUAAUAAAAAAAUAAGCAAUUAAAUUAGGAAAUUAAAAUAUUAAUAAAAUUAAUUAUUUGCAAAGCGAUUAAAAUAAAUUAUUAAAUAUUAAAUAAGUAAUAUACAUAAAGAAUUAAAAUAAGUAUUUAAACAGUAAUAAAAAAAUAAGCAAUUAAAUUAGGUAUUAGUAAAAUAAUUAAAAUAUUAAAAUAAACGAUCAAAAUAAGUGUUGGUACUAUAAUUAAAAUAAAUAAUUAAAUAUUAAAUAAGUAAUAUACAUAAAGAAUUUAAAUAAAUAUUUAAACAUUAAAAUAAUAAUAAACAAUUAAAUUAAGUGUUAGUAAAAUAAUUAAAAUAUCGAAAGAAACGAUCAAAAUAAGUAUUAGUAAAAUAAUUAAAUAUUAAAUAAGUAAUAUACAUAAAGAAUUUAAAUAAUUAUUUAAACAUUAGUAAAAUAAUUAAAUUAGAAAAUUAAAAUAUUAAUCAGUAUAUGAAAAAUAUUAAUUUACGUUCAUUUCCUUUAUUUCAUUACAUGUUGAUUAUUGCAUAUAAUAGCAGUGUGUUAGUUUAUUUUUGUAAUUAUUUUGUUUAUCAAUUACCUAUCAAAAAAAUAUUUUAGUUUAUCAAUUAUCUAUCGCACAGGGUUCUAAUAUUUGAAAUUUUGCAGGAUAGAAUAUUAUCUGGACGACAUUAUCAAAUAGAUCCUUGGUAAAGUUACGUCAAACUGUAACUUUAUCAGUUUCUCUUUGGUAUUAAAUUUGCUGGAUGACGAGCAUGCGAACAUAUUACGACGAUCGUGCUUAUGGCCAUUGUAUUCGUUGCGUGAUGUACAGUGGUCGAGGCAGCUGCUCGUUACCCUACUAUGUCGGUUGCUAAAGCCAGUUGACGGAGAUGUCCUCCAUUUUGAUCUUGGGGGCAAGGUAGCGACGUUUUCCAUAUUUGAGUUUGCUCUCGUCACUAGACUAUGAUGUACGGAGAAAGAAGUGGCGAGAGCCCGUAUUCCGAGGAACAUGAGACUGUUGAAUGAAUAUUUUUGUGGAUAGACGACAGUUACUCUAGUGUAGUUGGGAGAUGCAUUAAGGAGAUGCGAUCAGAUGUCUAAUAGGCUAAACCUGGGCUUCGUGCUUAUCAUCGAUAGUAUACUCCGAUGUCAUCAUAAGAAGACUUCGAUUGACAUUUUCCAUUAGAAAGUUAUUGAUGAUUGUGUAGUUGGGAGAUGCAUUAAGGAGGGGGUUUUCGAUACUUAAAGGGGAUAAGCCCAAGCACAAGUACGAUGUAUAUGGACUGCAGUUGGUGCUGCAAGUACAUGUUUAAGUUAAUGAAUGACCUACGUUUUUUUAUUAAAUUCUAUAUAUAAUAAUUGUAAUUGUUGCAGAUAUGAGUGUAUGAAACUGUCCCCAUCUUGGCUAGUCGGUAUGGGAGGGGAGGAGAGGAGAGACACGCUACCCUCGGAUGCAUCACUGGGAAGCACAAGAUAAGCCACUUGCCAGACAGUUAUCGACCCUCCUCGACGAACCUGUGGUACAUAUUAUACAUUUGCGAUUUAUGUUGUAUGUCCUUUUACAAUCUCAAUACAUGGUCAUUAAUUAUAAAAUGUCAAAAUGUCAGCUUGAAAUUCUCACUGAGUUGGCACCGUCGAUCGAGGAGAAGAGUCAGCUUUAUAUUCGCGAAUUGUCUGUUCCGACUGCGCAUGACAAUCAGAUGCCUGAGUCUAGCGUGGAUUGAGAUAGGGUAUGUUACUGUGGAGGAUUUAUUGAAUAUCAUUUUGAUCUUGUAAUUAAGUGCUUCACUUGUAAUAUUUAUUUUUUCAGGAGAGUCUUUCAGUAUUACCUCCGUCGAGGAUGUCACCUCCGCUGAGAAGAUCACGUCCGGUUGUACCAGAGUUUCAGAUGUCCGAGUCACGCGUGGAUCGAAAUAGAGUAUGUUACUUAAAAAUAAUUUGUCGAUUGUCCUUUUGUUUUUUUAAUUAAAUUAUUAAUUUGUAAUAUUUAUUUUUUUAGGAGGGCCGUUCAGUAUCACCUUCUGCACCUAGUCAUUGUGUUUCGACGAUUGAUUUGUUCGAACUCCUGACGGAGAAGAGAGGAGACAUGGCAUUGUUACGAGAUGAUGUCGCGAUGCUACGUGCCGGGUUAGAAGACCUUCAUGCUGAGAUUGCAGCGAUACAAGGCGACAUAGUAGGCCUGCGGGGGACAGGCGACUAUCGGGAUGGAGGAGAUGGCGGAGGGAUUGGUGGCUAUCAGGACGGAGGAGGUAACGGAGGGACUAGCGGCUAUUGGGACGGAGGGGGCGAUGGAUGGGUUGGCGGCUAUCAUGACGAGGGUCGGUGGUUAUCAGGGGGAGGAGGUCAGAUGGGGUAUGUUAAGUCAUCGUGGCCAUCGGUAGCUGCAUUCGAUUCAUUUUUAAAUGACACGAUGGAUGGAGGAGCGAGAGGGGAUACCCAAGGCGGAGGGGGUACCCAAGAGGACGAUACUCGAGGAGGAGAGAGUGCCCGUGCUGGGGAUAUCCGGGGAUGUUGAAGGGUAUCGGAGGUGGAGGUGGUACCCAAGAGGACGCCAGACUCGCCGGACAUAGUUUUUAUGUCUGAGGAGGUGGUCCUGAUAGUGGACGAGGGAAUGGUCUCGAUGCCGGGGAGAUGGAGAUCCCCGAGAUGGAGGAGGAGAUAAUGCGUGCUGUUGACGUGCCGAAGCUGGUGGUUGGCAAGAGACAAAUGGUACCAUCACAGUACGUCGUUUCUCUCUUUACUGUGGAGGUUAAGAGGAGGAGGUUCGUCGACGGGACAUACCCAAUUUAUUCAGGGAGGUGGACCACGCUAAGUGGAAAGCCUUCGAGACGGAGAGGAGAGCAAUUAGGCUCGGAUAAGUAUUGUAUUUUAUAGAAUUAGUACAGUACGCAGACCUUGACAUAUGUAUACUUCUUGUAACUAAAAUUUCUGUUCUUAUUUUUUUAGGGCCAGUCGCACAAUUGCUCAUAAAACGAUCUCAAACGUUUAUAAGUGGUUCCACGACAUCACCACUUCGUAGGCUUGGCUCGUCGAUGAUGUAAGCGAAAACAAAAUAUUGUUAUUUAUUAUGUAAUGUUCAAUUUUGAUCUUUGAAUCAAAUUCAUGGAAUGACUCAUUUUUUUAUUGGUGAUUCUUGAUGUAGCACAUCAACUUGGCCAAGGAUUUGCUACGAUAUUGAGCUGAAAGACAUCCAAAAUCGUUCAACAUUCUUGGUCGACUCAUAUUGAACACCAAGUUCAUCCGUGCUGUUAACAUUAAGUACCAAUCGCUCCAAACUAUAGGUAACGAGUACACAGUGCUAACAAAUAUGAUGGAAUGGAUCGUAGGGAUGUGACCGAGUGUCGGAGGAAAGUCAUAGGAGGGCUGUAUGCAUUUGUACAUGCUAGUGUGUGUGAAUCAUCACGACAUUGUAAUGGAGAACGUAUUCGCCGACUCCACUACGUAUGUACACAACCUCAAUCAUUCAUGCCUGACACAAAGUCAACUCGAGUGGAAUCUAGAGUCUGUGUCUGUGAUCAUUUCCAUGAUGGCUAGAUGAGAAAACAUCACUUUACAGGACAAACUAACCAUCAUGCGGGACACGAUAACGGCAAGGCAACAAAUAUCGUAAGUGUUUGUAAUUUUAUUUUUUUUUAAUUUACAACUUAAUACAAUAUUUUUUAAUUGUAGGGGUGAUUGCGGAAUGUUCUUCAUCAAGUACGGAUAAUUUUUUAGUGUAACAUAUAAUAUUGAUGCAAUCAACCAGGUAUGGAUACAAAAUUGGAGAAUAAAUUAGCAUGUGAUUUAUUUAAAUUUAAUGGUGAUCCGUAAAUA
rnacentral:lncRNA from 1 species